AUGAACGCUGGCGGCAGGCUUAACACAUGCAAGUCGAGCGGAAACGAGAAGUACUUGUACUUCGGCGUCGAGCGGCGGACGGGUGAGUAAUGCUUGGGAAUAUGCCUUAUGGUGGGGGACAACAGUUGGAAACGACUGCUAAUACCGCAUAAUGUCUACGGACCAAAGCGGGGGACCUUCGGGCCUCGUGCCAUUUGAUUAGCCCAAGUGAGAUUAGCUAGUUGGUGGGGUAAUGGCCUACCAAGGCGACGAUCUCUAGCUGGUUUGAGAGGAUGAUCAGCCACACUGGGACUGAGACACGGCCCAGACUCCUACGGGAGGCAGCAGUGGGGAAUAUUGCACAAUGGGCGCAAGCCUGAUGCAGCCAUGCCGCGUGUGUGAAGAAGGCCUUCGGGUUGUAAAGCACUUUCAGUUGUGAGGAAAGGGUGUUGGUUAAUACCUAACAUCUGUGACGUUAGCAACAGAAGAAGCACCGGCUAACUCCGUGCCAGCAGCCGCGGUAAUACGGAGGGUGCGAGCGUUAAUCGGAAUUACUGGGCGUAAAGCGUGCGUAGGCGGUUUGUUAAGCAAGAUGUGAAAGCCCCGGGCUCAACCUGGGAACUGCAUUUUGAACUGGCAGGCUAGAGUUUUGUAGAGGGUGGUGGAAUUUCCAGUGUAGCGGUGAAAUGCGUAGAGAUUGGAAGGAACAUCAGUGGCGAAGGCGGCCACCUGGACAAAAAC
rnacentral:rRNA from 1 species